UACAGAGGGUGCGAGCGUUGUCCGGAAUCAUUGGGCGUAAAGGGCGCGUAGGUGGCCCGGUCAGUUCGUGGUGAAAGCGCGGGGCUCAACCCUGCGUCGGCCAUGAAUACUGCCGCGGCUGGAGCACUGUAGAGGCAGGCGGAAUUCCGGGUGUAGCGGUGGAAUGCGCAGAUAUCAGGAGGAACACCGAUGGCGAAGGCAGGUCUCUGGGCCACUACUGACGCUGAGAAGCGAAAGCAUGGGGAGCAAACAGG
rnacentral:rRNA from 1 species